CACAUACGGUACACAUUGUAGUCCGAAAAAAUAAAGGACUUCAUUCCUAUCAAACACCUUUUUAAUUGUUUACCAGUAUAUUUCUUUUAGUUUUGGGUAAAAUUGUAAAGGAAAUAAUACUAUCAAGACGUCCUUCCAUAAAUCUUUUUUUCUGUUCUGACUUUGAAGAAAUGACUACUUUUCGCCCAAUCGAAAUGGUGCAUGGACAUAUUUUGUUUCAUAUUAUUUGAAUUAUUUUCAAUAUUAUCGGUAUUAAACUUGAUUAUCG
rnacentral:lncRNA from 1 species